rnacentral:rRNA from 1 species
UACGAAGGGGGCUAGCGUUGUUCGGAAUUACUGGGCGUAAAGCGCGCGCAGGCGGUCCUUUAAGUCAGGGGGGAAAGCCCAGAGCUCAACUCUGGAACUGCCUUUAAAACUAGAGGACUUGGGUACGGGAGAGGUGAGUGGAAUUCCGAGUGUAGAGGUGAAAUUCGUAGAUAUUCGGAAGAACACCAGUGGCGAAGGCGGCUCACUGGCCCGUUACCGACGCUCAGGCGCGACAGCGUGGGGAGCGAACAGG